GUUCAAUGAGUGUUAUGAGAGUGUUAAAUGAACUUAACCCAGCGCACAGGCCUCCUACUACUACUCAAGGGAGAAGUGUUACGUAUCUCCGUAAGAGAGAAUAAAAAAGAGCACACAAACCUACAAACAGUUACUACUGACCGGCACUUUAACCCAAAUGUAACCUGCGUUGUGUUGAACCUGUGUAGUUCAGCCCUGCACACGCCCGGACUCAAACCCGCUUGAACUUGAGUGGGCUGACAAUCGAGCUAAACGCCCAGGCUGCUAGCUUUCAUGCCAGCACUGCUCUUAAGGGGUCAGUGAGUGAGGUUUACUAACAUUCCACACGCAGAGCUAUGCUAUCUGGAAUCUGCUACACAAAGCAACUUGUAAGUGCCGUGUAAGUGUAAGUAAAUAGUUGAUUAUGGGCAUGC